rnacentral:rRNA from 1 species
AACCGUAUAGGGGAGCCGGAGGGAAACCGAGUCUUAAUUGGGCGUUAAGUUGCAGGGUAUAGACCCGAAACCCGGUGAUCUAGCCAUGGGCAGGUUGAAGGUUGGGUAACACUAACUGGAGGACCGAACCGACUAAUGUUGAAAAAUUAGCGGAUGACCUGUGGCUGGGGGUGAAAGGCCAAUCAAACCGGGAGAUAGCUGGUUCUCCCCGAAAGCUAUUUAGGUAGCGCCUCGUGAAUUCAUCUCCGGGGGUAGAGCACUGUUUCGGCUAGGGGGCCAUCCCGGCUUACCAACCCGAUGCAAACUGCGAAUACCGGAGAAUGUUAUCACGGGAGACACACGGCGGGUGCUAACGUCCGUCGUGAAGAGGGAAACAACCCAGACCGCCAGCUAAGGUCCCAAAGUCAUGGUUAAGUGGGAAACGAUGUGGGAAGGCCCAGACAGCCAGGAUGUUGGCUUAGAAGCAGCCAUCAUUUAAAGAAAGCGUAAUAGCUCACUGGUCGAGUCGGCCUGCGCGGAAGAUGUAACGGGGCUAAACCAUGCACCGAAGCUGCGGCAGCGACACUGUGUGUUGUUGGGUAGGGGAGCGUUCUGUAAGCCUGUGAAGGUGUGUCGUGAGGCAUGCUGGAGGUAUCAGAAGUGCGAAUGCUGACAUAAGUAACGAUAAAGCGGGUGAAAAGCCCGCUCGCCGGAAGACCAAGGGUUCCUGUCCAACGUUAAUCGGGGCAGGGUGAGUCGACCCCUAAGGCGAGGCCGAAAGGCGUAGUCGAUGGGAAACGGGUUAAUAUUCCCGUACUUGGUGUUACUGCGAAGGGGGGACGGAGAAGGCUAUGUUGGCCGGGCGACGGUUGUCCCGGUUUAAGCGUGUAGGUGUGUGUUCCAGGUAAAUCCGGUUCACUUUAACACUGAGGCGUGACGACGAGGCACUACGGUGCUGAAGCAACAAAUGCCCUGCUUCCAGGAAAAGCCUCUAAGCAUCAGGUAACAUCAAAUCGUACCCCAAACCGACACAGGUGGUCAGGUAGAGAAUACCAAGGCGCUUGAGAGAACUCGGGUGAAGGAACUAGGCAAAAUGGUGCCGUAACUUCGGGAGAAGGCACGCUGACACGUAGGUGAAGUGAUUUACUCAUGGAGCUGAAGUCAGUCGAAGAUACCAGCUGGCUGCAACUGUUUAUUAAAAACACAGCACUGUGCAAACACGAAAGUGGACGUAUACGGUGUGACGCCUGCCCGGUGCCGGAAGGUUAAUUGAUGGGGUCAGCGCAAGCGAAGCUCCUGAUCGAAGCCCCGGUAAACGGCGGCCGUAACUAUAACGGUCCUAAGGUAGCGAAAUUCCUUGUCGGGUAAGUUCCGACCUGCACGAAUGGCGUAAUGAUGGCCAGGCUGUCUCCACCCGAGACUCAGUGAAAUUGAACUCGCUGUGAAGAUGCAGUGUACCCGCGGCAAGACGGAAAGACCCCGUGAACCUUUACUAUAGCUUGACACUGAACAUUGAGCCUUGAUGUGUAGGAUAGGUGGGAGGCUUUGAAGCGUGGACGCCAGUCUGCGUGGAGCCG